rnacentral:rRNA from 1 species
GGGCCCGCACAAGCGGAGGAACAUGUGGUUUAAUUCGAUGAUACGCGAGGAACCUUACCCGGGCUAGAACGUAGGGAGACCGAUGGGGAAACUCAUUUUUCAGCAAUGACUGCCUACGAGGUGCUGCAUGGUUGUCGUCAGCUCGUGCCGUGAGGUGUCGGCUUAAGUGCCAUAACGAGCGCAACCCUUAUUGUUAGUUGCCAGCGGGUCAAGCCGGGGACUCUAGCAAAACUGCCAGCGUAAGCUGUGAGGAAGGUGGGGAUGACGUCAAAUCAGCACGGCCCUUACGUCCGGGGCGACACACGUGUUACAAUGGAUGGUACAGAAGGUCGCUACCACGCGAGUGGAUGCUAAUCUUAAAAGCCAUUCUCAGUUCGGAUUGGAGUCUGCAACUCGACUCCGUGAAGUUGGAUUCGCUAGUAAUCGCGCAUCAGCCAUGGCGCGGUGAAUACG